rnacentral:rRNA from 1 species
AUGGGCAGUCGGACUUUCUUUUGGGCGGCACGGGACCGGCCUGGCGCUUGUGGCCGUGUUGACGGGAGCAGCCGGCUCGCAUCUUCUUUUUUUUUUUUGCCGGCUGUGGGCAGCCGGCCCUUGACCUUUCUGCAGCCGGCAUCUUAUUCCUUUUGUCUUCAAUGCGGACAGCCGGCCGCAGCCGCUGAGCAGCGGGAGCCGGCGGGCGGCCGGGAGUGGCUUGGGCGCGGACAGGGCCCCGCGCGCGAGCGGAGGACGCGAACAGGAGGCGGCAGCCGCCACCCGGCCGACGCGGGACGCGGAGCGGCGAGGUAG